AUUUAAAUAGCUUAAGUUAAGAGUAUAAUAUUGAAGAUAUUAGGG
rnacentral:tRNA from 1 species